rnacentral:rRNA from 1 species
UAGGGAAUCUUCCACAAUGGACGAAAGUCUGAUGGAGCAACGCCGCGUGAGUGAAGAAGGGUUUCGGCUCGUAAAACCCUGUUGUUAAAGAAGAACAUAUCUGAGAGUAACUGUUCAGGUAUUGACGGUAUUUAACCAGAAAGCCACGGCUAACUACGUGCCA